GCACUGAAGAGUCCCACAAUAGGACGAAACGGCUGUCUAGUGC
rnacentral:hammerhead_ribozyme from 1 species